rnacentral:lncRNA from 1 species
UUGUGCCGUUUGAAUUUGCCUCGAUCGGUUGUGCGCGAUGUGAUGAGCGUUGGCUCAACGUUGGGGUAUCUUCUAGUAUCAGCGGGGAAUGUUCGCUUAAGCACACCUGUGCAAGUUGGUUUGGUCAUUGAGUCUUGUAAUGGAAUCACCGAACUUAUAAGGUGCAUUUCAGUCGUGUGUCGCUUUAGGUUUCUCGUAUUCCAGUUUCUAAACCGAAACUUUGUAGCUUCGGGUGUCAUCCUAUUAUGUCGAGUUGGGCGUGAAUUUGUCUUUGUAAUCGUCUAUGCAAGUCAAUGAAAACCAGCUGGUUCCCUUCGUGUUAAUACUGAACUAACUAGUCUGUUUUCCCAUACUUUCACGGGAACUCAAAGCGCGGUAGAUUGCAUCUUACUGUGGCGAUGCCUAUGCCUACUCCCAGCACUGGGAGCAGCAACGGGAGCAGCACUCCCAGCACUGUAUAUGCCUAACGAAUUCG